ACGGAGGAUGCAAGCGUUAUCCGGAUUUAUUAGGUUUAAAGGGUGCGUAGGCGGAGACUUAAGUCAGUGGUAAAAGGCAAUAGCUUAACUAAUGUAAGCCAUUGAUACUGGGUUUCUUGAGUUCGGUAGAGGUAGGCGGAAUGUGUUGUGUAGCGGUGAAAUGCAUUGAUAUAACGCGGAACACCGAUUGCGAAGGCAGCUUACUGGACCGUUACUGACGGUGAUGCACGAAAGCGAGGGGAGCAAACAG
rnacentral:rRNA from 1 species